rnacentral:lncRNA from 1 species
UGUUGCAGAGAGAGAGAGAGGUAAUAUAGUAAUAGUGUUGCAGAGAGAGAGAGGUAAUAUAGUAAUAGUGUUGCAGAGAGAGAGAGAGGUAAUAUUGUAAUAGUGUUGCAGAGAGAGAGAGAGAGAGGUAAUAUAGUAAUAGUGUUGCAGAGAGAGAGAGAAAGAGGUAAUAUAGUAAUAGUGUUGCAGAGAGAGAGAGGUAAUAUAGUAAUAGUGUUGCAGAGAGAGACAGGUAAUAUAGUAAUAGUGUUGCAGAGAGAGAGAGGUAAUAUAGUAAUAGUGUUGCAGAGAGAGAGGUAAUAUAGUAAUAGUGUUGCAGAGAGAGAGAGGUAAUAUAGUAAUAGUGUUGCAGAGAGAGAGAGAGAGAGAGAGAGGUAAUAUAGUAAUAGUGUUGCAGAGAGAGAGGUUAUAUAGUAAUAGUGUUGCAGAGAGAGAGAGAGGUAAUAUAGAAAUAGUGUUGCAGAGAGAGAGAGGUAAUAUAGUAAUAGUGUUGCAGAGAGAGAGAGAGAGAGAGAGAGGUAAUAUAGUAAUAGUGUUGAGAGAGAGAGAGAGAGAGAGGUAAUAUAGUAAUAGUGUUGCAGAGAGAGAGAGAGAGAGAGGUAAUAUAGUAAUA